CAGUCCCCUAUCCCUACCCGGUCCAGCCCCACCUAAACCUGGCUAACACAGCCAAGCUCAGUGACCUCUUCGCAUCAGAAGAGAUCAUCUGCCACAGUGGUUCCUAAGCCCGGAUGCCCAUGAGAAUCACCUGGAUUGUUUGCUAAGAAAACAUUCCCAUUCAGGAGAUUGAUUCAGAACUGUGAAAAGGUGUGGGAAUGUGACUUUUUAACAAUGGCCCCAGGUGAUUAUGAUGUAACUAGUCCUUGGCCCAUAGCUGGGAAUCUCUCCAAACCCUUCUUUUAUAGUGGUCAAGAGAGACAAAGUGAUGUCACCAAACUCAACCAACUUGCAUGGGAGCCCCAAGCAGGUCGUCUACCACCCUCACACCUUUCUUUGCUUCCUGGAUACAUGGGUUUUCAACACUGUGCAUAGAAGUAAAGUCCAACACUGGAAACUCUUUGUUCCUGCUUUCUUGUACUUGAGCCUACACAACACACAUUCUGAAUAGAUCUCUGCCAGGUGGAUAAAGCAGAGUAAGGCUUUCAGACUGUAUGACUCAUCAAGAGGAAAGCUGUCUUCCUUUCUUCUAGGAUGGCUUGAUCAGGAGGCUCUUCAGGUGUGGCUGCCAGCAGUACCAAACUUUUCCUUACAACUUAGCAACUCUAUUCCAGCAAAGUCCCAGGCUAGUCACAUGCCAUGCUAAUUUCUGAAUCUGUCACCAUGACUUUGGCCAAGUCUGGCUUCUGUCGAGCUCUGAAGCCAGAACGUGAAAUCGGCCCCAUGAAACCACAUGGCCCGAAGGUAGGAAAGGAACGAUUUUCCAAAAAGAAAGAGGCCUUUUUUUUUAAACCAAAGGGACCAUGGUAUUAGGCAAACAUGCCUCUCAGGAAAGCCAAAGGGGAGAUGAUAUUCUCCCAGACAGAUUAAAAAAAAAAUCAGAGAUCUAAAAA